rnacentral:rRNA from 1 species
GACGAACGCUGGAGGCGUGCUUAACACAUGCAAGUCGAACGAUGAAAUGGAGCUUGCUCCAUGGAUUAGUGGCGAACGGGUGAGUAACACGUGAAUAACCUGCCCUUAAUUUUGGAAUAACCCAGGGAAACCUGGGCUAAUACCGGAUAAGUAAACCUGUGGCCUCACAUGGUUUUGGAAAGUUUUUCGAUUAAGGAUGGAUUCGCGGCCUAUCAGCUUGUUGGUGAGGUAAUGGCUCACCAAGGCGACGACGGGUAGCCGGCCUGAGAGGGUGAACGGCCACAUUGGGACUGAGACACGGCCCAAACACCUACGGGUGGCAGCAGUAGGGAAUUUUUCGCAAUGGACGGAAGUCUGACAGAGCAAUGCCGCGUGGGGGAAGAAGAUUUUCGGAUUGUAAACUCCUGUUGUGAGGGAAGAAAGACGAUAGGAGGGAAUGGCUAUCGAGUGACGGUACCUUACCAGAAAGGGACGGCUAACUACGUGCC